rnacentral:rRNA from 1 species
AUAUCAAUAAGCGGAGAAAAGAAACUAACAAGGAUUCCCCUAGUAACGGCGAGUGAAGCGGGAAGAGCUCAAGCUUAAAAUCUCCGUGCAAGUUUUGCGCGGCGAAUUGUAGUCUAUAGAGGCGUGGUCAGCGUGGGCGCUUGGGGCAAGUUCCUUGGAAGAGGACAGCAUGGAGGGUGAUACUCCCGUUCAUCCCUGAGUGGCUCGUGCGUACGACCCGUGUUCUUUGAGUCGCGUUGUUUGGGAAUGCAGCGCAAAGUAGGUGGUAAAUUCCAUCUAAAGCUAAAUAUUGGUGCGAGACCGAUAGCGAACAAGUACCGUGAGGGAAAGAUGAAAAGAACUUUGAAAAGAGAGUUAAAGAGUACCUGAAACUGCUGAAAGGGAACCGAAUCGUUUCCAGUGUCUAUAAUCCGUGGCAUAUUUCAUUGGCGAGUGUGCGCGUGCGUGUGCUGUGGCAGUGGCUUUUUUGGCUGCGCUCGGUGCGUGUGCUGUGUGUGCUUGCUGGUGCCCUGUGCUGCGGUGGGACGUCAAGGUCAGUUCGUAUGCUGCGGGAAAUGGCUGCCGAGGAGGUAGGGCUUACGCUCCGCGUUUGUCUGUUAUAUCUUGGUGGACGAGUCGUCGUGGUUGGGACUGAGGUGCCUACAACGUGCUUUUGAGUGGGUUCGUGUCUCCGUGUGCGCCGUGUGCGGAUAGCUUGCUAUGCGUGUGUGGUUGUGCGUGGAUUGGUGCGGGCUUUAACUUGUCGCCGUUCGGGACGUUGACGAAAUGGAGCGAUCCGACCCGUCUUGAAACACGGACCAAGGAGUCUAACAUGUGU